UAUCCACAUUCCUGUGAGUUGUUAUUUUUUCGAAUGUGAAUUAUAUCACUGUAUAUACAUAAUGCUCAUCUGCUAGCUUGUGUACAUUUGGUAUAACUGUGUAAGUGAUCUUGCAUCCAUUGCAUUCUUCCCCUGUAUUCAGGGAUUCACAUAUUCAGUGAGGGCGCAUUUUCUGGAAGACAUAUUAGAAAGGACAGACUAUAAGAUGACAACAAGUAAUCAACUUGACGAUUACUGCCAAGAUAAAGUGUGGAAGACUCCGAGACAGCUAUUACCCAGAAAAAGGAAAAAUCAAAUUACUACACUUGUCGAGGAUGCCCUUCAAAAUUCGAACUUUGAAACCUAUGGCUCAAGGACACGUGAUUCUCUGGCAAACUGAAAUCCUGACUGCAUAGGGUUUAAUCUCAUAGAGGCUGUUCUAUGCCACAUAUGUCGCAAAGAGCGAGCUGGUGCAGUUUUAGUUUUUAUGACCGGAUGGGAUGACAUUAGCUCUUUGAAGGAUCAAUUAAAAGCACAUCCAUUGCUAGGUGACCCAAA